rnacentral:rRNA from 1 species
GAAGGAUCAUUGUUGAAACCUGCAUGGCAGAACGACCCGCGAACAUGUACCAAACACGUGGCUUUGCGUGAUUCGAUACUUAUGUUUCGAGCCUCGUAAAGCAUUGUCGACUUGUGUCCAUUAUGGUCCUUUCAGGGCCUUGYGGACACUAAGUUGGCAUAACAACCCCCCCGGCACGGGACGUGCCAAGGAAACAUAAAACAUAAAGGGCCCAUGCUCCAAAGCCCCGUUUAUGGUGUGCUUGUUGUAUGUGGCUUCUUUUUAAAUCUAUAACGACUCUCGGCAACGGAUAUCUCGGCUCGCGCAUCGAUGAAGAACGUAGCAAAAUGCGAUACUUGGUGUGAAUUGCAGAAUCCCGUGAACCAUCGAGUUUUUGAACGCAAGUUGCGCCCGAAGCCAUCCGGUUGAGGGCACGUCUGCCUGGGCGUCACGCAUCACGUCGCCCCCACCUAACUCUCCUCUAACGGGAUAUGUUGGGUAGGGGCGGAGAUUGGUAUCCCGUGCCUAUGUGCGGUUGGCUUAAAAUAGGGGUGUUCCCGAGGGAAACGCACAACCUGUGGUGGUUGAUAAUACAGUCGUCUCGUGUUUUGUGUGUUUAUCCUUAAGGGGAGAUUCUUUAUAAAACCCGAAUGUGUUGUCUUCGGAUGACGCUUCGAUCGCGACCCCAGGUCAGGCGGGACUACCCGCUGAGUUUAA